CGACCGGCGCACGGGUGAGUAACACGUAUCCAACCUGCCGUCUACUCUUGGACAGCCUUCUGAAAGGAAGAUUAAUACAAGAUGGCAUCAUGAGUCCGCAUGUUCACAUGAUUAAAGGUAUUCCGGUAGACGAUGGGGAUGCGUUCCAUUAGAUAGUAGGCGGGGUAACGGCCCACCUAGUCUUCGAUGGAUAGGGGUUCUGGGAGGAAGGUCCCCCACAUUGGAACUGAGACACGGUCCAA
rnacentral:rRNA from 1 species